rnacentral:rRNA from 1 species
GAGUUUGAUCCUGGCUCAGAUUGAACGCUGGCGGAAUGCUUUACACAUGCAAGUCGAGCGGCAGCGCGGGGCAACCUGGCGGCGAGCGGCGAACGGGUGAGUAAUGCAUCGGAACGUGUCCAUGUCGUGGGGGAUAGCCCGGCGAAAGCCGGAUUAAUACCGCAUACGCCCGAGAGGGGAAAGUGGGGGACCGCAAGGCCUCACGCGAUUGGGUCGGCCGAUGUCCGAUUAGCUAGUUGGCGGGGUAAGGGCCCACCAAGGCGAUGAUCGGUAGCUGGUCUGAGAGGAUGAUCAGCCACACUGGGACUGAGACACGGCCCAGACUCCUACGGGAGGCAGCAGUGGGGAAUUUUGGACAAUGGGGGCAACCCUGAUCCAGCCAUUCCGCGUGAGUGAAGAAGGCCUUCGGUUGUAAG